rnacentral:rRNA from 1 species
AACGAACGCUGGCGGCAUGCCUAACACAUGCAAGUCGAACGAGACCUUCGGGUCUAGUGGCGCACGGGUGCGUAACGCGUGGGAACCUGCCCUUAGGUUCGGAAUAACUCCCCGAAAGGGGUGCUAAUACCGGAUAAUGUCUUCGGACCAAAGAUUUAUCGCCUUUGGAUGGGCCCGCGUUGGAUUAGCUAGUUGGUAGGGUAAAAGCCUACCAAGGCGACGAUCCAUAGCUGGUCUGAGAGGAAGAUCAGCCACACUGGGACUGAGACACGGCCCAGACUCCUACGGGAGGCAGCAGUGGGGAAUAUUGGACAAUGGGCGAAAGCCUGAUCCAGCAAGGCCGCGUGAGUGAUGAAGGCCUUAGGGUUGUAAAGCUCUUUUACCCGGGAUGAUAAUGACAGUACCGGGAGAAUAAGCUCCGGCUAACUCCGUG